ACAUGGAUUUGCUUUGAUUCUAAUUAGCUGUAAAAGCUGAGGCAACAAGGGAAAAGCAAAUAGAUAGAUAGAUGAUAAGAAGAGAAGGAAGAGGGACAUUUUGUUUUGGGCUGAGAAAUUAUUUGAUCCCUCGUUGGACUUAGCUUUUGUCUUCUGAAACACAUGUCAUCCAAGAAAUUAAAGCUGAGAUGCCAAAACCACAACCAACUCAUCAGAAUGAUUUGGUAAUAAUAACAGUGUGCCAUACCACCACCAACCAAUCAUAUGAUUUUAUGAUGGUGUUGUGUCUCCUGUCAAGAUCCACCUC
rnacentral:lncRNA from 1 species